rnacentral:rRNA from 1 species
GAUGAACGCUGGCGGCGUGCUUAACACAUGCAAGUCGAACGGGAAAUACUUUAUUGAAACUUCGGUGGAUUUAAUUUAUUUCUAGUGGCGGACGGGUGAGUAACGCGUGGGUAACCUGCCUUAUACUGGGGGAUAACAGCCAGAAAUGACUGCUAAUACCGCAUAAGCGCACAGAACCGCAUGGUUCGGUGUGAAAAACUCCGGUGGUAUAAGAUGGACCCGCGUUGGAUUAGCUAGUUGGCGGGGCAGCGGCCUACCAAGGCGACGAUCCAUAGCCGGCCUGAGAGGGUGAACGGCCACAUUGGGACUGAGACACGGCCCAGACUCCUACGGGAGGCAGCAGUGGGGAAUAUUGCACAAUGGGGGAAACCCUGAUGCAGCGACGCCGCGUGAAGGAAAGAAGUAUCUCGGUAUGUAAACUUCUAUCAGCAGGGAAGAUAAUGACGGUACCUGACUAAGAAGCCCCGGCUAACUACGUGCCAGCAGCCGCGGUAAUACGUAGGGGGCAAGCGUUAUCCGGAUUUACUGGGUGUAAAGGGAGCGUAGACGGCGCAGCAAGUCUGAUGUGAAAGGCAGGGGCUUAACCCCUGGACUGCAUUGGAAACUGCUGUGCUUGAGUGCCGGAGGGGUAAGCGGAAUUCCUAGUGUAGCGGUGAAAUGCGUAGAUAUUAGGAGGAACACCAGUGGCGAAGGCGGCUCACUGGACGGUAACUGACGUUGAGGCUCGAAAGCGUGGGGAGCAAACAAGAUUAGAUACCCUGGUAGUCCACGCCGUAAACGA